AUAAAAUUAUCAAUUAUUCACGAACUAGGAGGAAUGGAUUAGUUCGAUAAACGAGUGGUGUAUACAUACAUGUACAUGUGGAACCUUGGAAUUUUCGUCAGACUUGUGAAGAACUGCGUGCUUGUUUAGGCAACAGAGACAACAGUGGACCUGUGGGGCUGAAUGCAAACGAAAAUUUCGAAUUUGUCAAUGUCUGUGCGAACAUCUCCCCAAUUCCAUGUGAGGCGAACUACUUUUGCUGAAUUUUGAUUGCAGGCGUGGAUCGCGUGUCCAAGUACAAGGUUGGGCCUUGGGGGAUAUUCCAACUCUUGAAGCACUCUUCUCAUUCUGAUCUCUGAUUUCUCCAUCUUUGCCAACCUCCUUCUUUGUGAGCUCGAACUAUACCCGUCAAAUGUUGACAAAUAUUUUAAAGAUUGAUGAACAGAAACGAGAAUUCCACUGAUACAAUUUUUUGUUUGGUGAGAUCAGUCGGCUUCCACGAUUGCUUGACAUUAAGUAUCUAGGUAAUGUUAGUCUCCCUUAACGGUUGCGACAAAUGGUUGAGUUACAAAUAAAAUAAUUAAUUUUAAAAAUAGUUGUUUCUUCUCGAUGGUCGAAAAAAACAACUCUUUGACCUUUAAUAACUUUUGAAUGGGAACACACAGAGACUUAAUUCUGGAAGAUGAAAUCAUCGUAAUUUUUUACUUGAUUUUUUAAGCUAAAAAUCUCGAGGGUAUUAUGUCUAAUAGUAAACUUGAAAUUUCCAAUGUGCAGCCUUUAUUUAGCCCGAGUCAGGCGUUGCGGUUGUCGGUCAAACCCACCAAGUGGAGUGGCAUAUUUUUGAAAAUCUGUAUGUAUGCCCUAUGGUCUCACCCGUAGGGCUUAAUCUCAAAAUUUCAACUUCCUACGACAAAUUUGGGAUAUUUAUAUGCCAUUUAAUAUUUUUUUCUGUCAACCCUAACCACUUAAAAGACCCUUCCCGACCAAACCGAUCAUUCUAUCUUCGAACUUAUCCUUACUUUUGACCGUUUAGGGUGACCAUACGUCCCGGUUUUCAAAACCUGUCCCGGCGUCCCGAAAAUGUCCCGGUUUUUAAAAUCGUAGGAGAAAAUUAAAUUAUCUGACUUUUUCGCCAAAAUAUUGAUGGAAAAGUAGAUUUUAGCACAUAAGUACCGGUAACCCGCAUGUAAUAUUUACUUAAUUGCCUUUCUUGUCUCUUUCUAAAAAUUCGGUGAUAUCGGAACCGUUAAACACUAGAUAUUAUGGAAAAUUUUUUUCCAAAAUCUGUCCCGGUUUUGGUCAGGACACAUAUGGUCACCCUAUUUUGACCCGUAGAUCAAAUUAGCAAAAUUUCAGGUCGCUAGCUUGUGUUUAAAGAGAGGUCUCGGGCGCACAGACAGACAUCUUGACAAAUCUAUAAGCCCAUCUGAAAAGGCGUAAAAAUUAGGUUUCCCAAAUAAUAUUAUCCCAUGACAAAUUUUCAACAGCUUUUAUUUUUUGAAACCUACAGCGUAGACUUCAUUUAGCCCGAGUCAGGGAUUCUGUCCCUGAUUCGGUGAGUCCGAGCUCAUUUCUACUUUUUUUCGAAAACGACAUAAUAAUAUUACCAACCUCCGUGGUGUCGUAGGUCCACGGUCCACGGUCCGCGGUCCACACUUAACCGAUUUCGCCCAUCUUCGAACCCGUUUCCUAAGUUUGUCCAGUAUGUACACGGUAAAAAUUGCAAGUCAAUCGGUUCAGCUAUUUUUACUAACGUGUUUACGGACGGACGGACGGACAUGACGGUUCCAUAAGCCCUGAUUCGGGCUAAUAAAAAUGAAAAUUUAUUUUGUAACUCGGCCAUUUGUCGUAACCUUAUAGACUGAUAAAGUGUCAAAUAAUCUUGGUCGGCUUCGUCUAUGUGAGUUCAACCGAAAUAAAUCAAAUGGUCGACAUGGUUAUUUUUACAUAGGAUGAUCAUGCAGUCCAACGGCAUCACCCAGACCCAGUCCAGAUUUAUGAGUAUAUGAAUAAUAACUUCAUUUCUACAUAAAUACUUGAAGAUGUUUAUUUUUGCAAUUUUUGAAUUUUAUUGAAGUAAGUUUUUGCAUGGGACAAGUGGUACAUUCUCAUUCUAGUUGUAUUGCACUAUAAACUUUUCUGUAUACAAACGGGAUGUAUUGAAGGAACACGAAAUUCGGCCAGUGUUUGCUGAUGCAAUGAGAAAAAAUGAUACUCAAUUCAACUACAAUGUUCAUAUAAAGUGUGUGUAACAGAAAUUUAUGGUCAUUAUAAAUU